UAACAAUAUGAGAAUGAUGACUGUUGAGUGAAUUUGCAUUGUAGAGACCCAUUGGCUAAGAACAACUAUGACAGCAUGGCUUGCUUUUUAGCAGACAGGUCGACAACUACCAAUCUACUCAGCAGAAGCAAGAAAUAACAGACGUCAGCUUGAUACAGUCAUAACUGACUGUGCGAAGGCAUUUGAUAAAAUAGAAAGUGAAGGGUUAUGAAAUAUCUGCAACGUCUAGGGUACCUCUUCUAUUUAUAAUUUACUCAUCAUGUCUCAUGUUUACUGAUAAUUUUAAAAUGUUUGGGUCUGUUUCCUCUUUGGAUGAUUGUAACAAACUUCACUGUGAUUUGGAUACAGCUUGCCUGAUCAAAUGAUCAAAUUG